ensembl:lncRNA
GGGCCAGGGUUCUAAAUGCUGCCUUUACUUGCAGAAAGAUGUGAGUCUGCAGUUUCUGGCACUAAGAUUGUAAAAAGUAGGAACUUCAUGGGAUUGUUGUGAAGGUUAGAGAUAAGGUCAGUUUAAGUACUCCAUACUUUUUCAGAGUUUAGCUGGAAACUUCCCUUAUCAUGAACAAAUUUCUCUAACAUUUUUACUGCUUCAACAUAUCAAAUAUGCUGGGCUCUUCGAACGUUGACCCUAUUUCUAAGGCUUUUCUUCCUCUUUUAGCCCAUUGGUACCGAUAUGUUCGUCCUCCUUACUUAUACACUCGAGGUGCAACUGGGAGUCGCUGGAGUAGUGAAGGGGGUACACUGGCCAAGUUGAAGUCACAGUAGGAAAGGACGGGCUUGACUGCGGGCAUAGAUAUGAAAUUCGGGCCCAGCAGAGUCCCCGACUUGUUGUGAUUCGGAAGAAGGGACGUGAACGUGGGUGGUAAAACGACAGGAGUCAAGGGAGGAGGCAAAUGGGGUGCACAUGGGACAUUGGCAAUGGAAAAGAAGGAAACCAAUUUAGACCCUAGGUCCACUUGGGCGAUGAAAUGCAAAUAGAGGUCUGUCCCAUCCUCCCUCAAUCCUUCCUUGGAGAAAGGCGAAUGCCAAAGGAGGCCCCAUCCUUAAACCGCUUUGAGCCCAGCUCCCCGGAGGCCCAGGAGAACCCACGAUCGAGAGGAGACCUCCGAGUUGCCUAGACGGACCCGGAAGUGCGCGCGGCGGAGCCCGUUUCCAGACCUGCCCGGGGGGGCCCGAGGUGGCCGCCGCUACGGAGCGGCUGCACGAUGACUGCCGGUCCGUUGUGUCCUGCUCUGAAGAAAUUUUAGAUCAAGUGUUGGCCUUGGAGCAGUACCAGAGAUUGGACCCAGCCCAUGGAGAAGCUGCCUGAGCAGAUGUCCCCGGAGUCCAGUGCCCAUCCGCCGAGCAGGAGCCUUGAAAGAGCAAGGAUUUGCCGCAGCAGCACUCUCCUCGCACUAAGUCUUGGAGGAUCAGUCAUUCCAGUACCUGCCAACUUGCUUGGCCUUUGGAGAAGCUCAGUAAAUGUUCUGUGAAUAAAGAAAUGAAUGAACCCAGCCAACACGGUUGACUUAUCUUCUCUGGACAGAGUGGAAUAAGCAUGUGACCAGAGCUGAGCUAAUCAGAACGGUUCCUUGGGUGAGAAUAGGGUGAGGAAAGCCUUUUUUAUUCUUUUUAUUUUUGUGUGUGUUUGUUUAUUUUUGAGAGAGAGAGAGAGAGACAGUGUGAGUCGGGGAGAGGCAGACACAGAAUGUAAAGCAGGCUCCAGGCUCUGAGCUGUCAGCACAGAGCCUGAUGCUGGGCUUGAACUCACUAACCAUGAGAUCAUGACCUGAGCCAAAGUUGGACACUUAACUGACCAAGCCACCUGGGUACCCCAAACCUUCUUUUUCUCCAGGAUGACUAAAUGUGAGGACGGGAGUCUGGAAGUGGAUUGUUUUCCCUGCCACUUGGAGAAUAAAAACCCUACUGGGUAGAGGAGAUCAGAGCUCUCUCUCUGAGAUCAGGGCAGUACGUUGUGUGUUUGAGGGGGUGGGGUUGGCUCUUCCUGACCAGCUCUGGUCCUUCCAGCUGCACCUCUGCCCUAAGCCAGCUAAGCCAGUAGCGGCCAUCUCUGGUGAACAUUUACAAAUUGGGUUCUGAUGGGACACCUGGGUGGCUCAGUCGGUUAAGCCUCUGACUUUGGCUCAGGUCAUGAUCUUGUGGUUUGUGAGUUUGAGCCUCGAGUCAGACUCUGUGCUGACAGCUCGGAGCCUCCUUCAGAUUCUGUGUCUCUCCCUCUCUCUGCCCCUCCCAAUCUCACGUUCUGUCUCUGUCUCUCAAUAAUAAAUAAGCAUUAAAAAAAAUUAGAGGACAACAACAACAAAUUGGGUUCUGAAACUUUGAGAGAUACAGUCCUGAAUGGUAGAGCGGCCUGUCACAUGCCUCUCAUGUGACAGGUGAUUGGGUAAGUUACUGGUUCAUCCCAUCUCGUCUUUUAAUGUGUCAGGGCUAGGGGAGAGGUGACCAGGUGCCAGAUACCGUACUGGCUUUUAAAAAAUUCUGGAGUUACAAAUGCAUUUCCUUGGUGAAAGCAGACUCAUAGCGGGGCAGAGGGGGGCUGUGUGUGGUGGGCUGGUGGCUUACCCAGCCCCAAGUAUGGCUACCCUCUACCCAUUUCCCAGAGCUGGAAGAUAGUCCUGCCCUCUCUUUGAAGAGUCUUCCCCCAGUCUGAAACCAGCUGCCAUGGUGCAGCCAAACUUCUCAGG